rnacentral:rRNA from 1 species
GAUGAACGCUGGCGGCGUGCCUAAUACAUGCAAGUCGAGCGAACGGACGAGAAGCUUGCUUUUCUGAUGUUAGCGGCGGACGGGUGAGUAACACGUGGAUAACCUACCUAUAAGACUGGGAUAACUUCGGGAAACCGGAGCUAAUACCGGAUAAUAUUUUGAACCGCAUGGUUCAAAAGUGAAAGACGGUCUUGCUGUCACUUAUAGAUGGAUCCGCGCUGCAUUAGCUAGUUGGUAAGGUAACGGCUUACCAAGGCAACGAUGCAUAGCCGACCUGAGAGGGGGUCCGCCACCCUGGAACGUGAGCACCGUCCCGGCUCCUUACGGAAGCCACAGGCAGGGAACCUUCCCAACUGGGGGAAACCCUGCCGAAUCAACGCAGGUUGGGUGAUGAAGUCCUCCGAUCGGUAAAACCCUUUUCUUGGGGAAAACCUUUUUUGUAAGUACUGUGCACAUCUUGACGGUACCUAAUCAGAAAGCCACGGCUAACUACGUG